CCAAAAGAAAUAACAGUGCAUUAGUCCUGCUUCUAUCAAAUGUAUUACCAUUGUCCCUAAUGGAAGUGAAGACAGUUUAGUGCUGAACACUUUUGAAAAUCCUUCACUUUUUUAUUCUUAUUUUUAGUGGAACCCUUUAGCGGUAAAUCUUUGGCUGAGUCUGGAACAGGGGAGGAUGCAAAGGCUACUGUCCCUCUGCCAAUCUCCAGGAAGUCUCCACAAUAGGUCUCUCCUGACUGAGAAAACUGGAUGCAUCUCUAUAUGCUGUGCAGAUAGAAGAGUGAUCUAACAGUGGGGGUAGCACUGCAAGCUUACCCCUCACCAUCCUGCCAAUCACUAAAGGAUGGGACCAAACAGGGAACGGAGGACCUCCCAAGGAGCUCAUGUCACCAGGCUGCUGCCAAUGCUUCCAGAGCAGUAAUAGAGGGUUCAGUGUGCAGAGAGGCAAAUCUUUUCUUCACAGAUAUUUUCAAAGCAUAGGUAAAAAGGCAUAUAACUGUGAGAAAGUGAAGUAAUCAUCAGGUUAUAUCUAUCAAGCUACUUACAUGAACCCAAUUGCUAUAGUGCCUGGGUGUCUCAUAGUCAUCAUUCUGACAACAUCCCUCUGAACUUUGCUAACAGGCAGAAUGCAGUAACACAUCUCUGAGCUUCAUGAAAGUCUCUGCAUCACGUGAAGUUUACUAGCAGAUCACAAGGAUCUAUAAAGCAAAAAGUUGUUCAGCAUAGAAAAUACACAAGGUGACUGGUGUCAUCACAAAACCACAGAUGUGAACAAGCGUGACUUCAACAAUGAGGAAUGAGUUCACUUCAAAUACCAAAGAGAUAUUUCGAGGGCUAUUAAAAAAAAUCAUACAAAACUUCUCACCUCUUUUUGUCUUGAUCACUGAACAUGAGACUAGCAGAGUUUGGUAUGGGUUAAGGAUAAAAUGUCCCAAGAGUUGUAAGGGAAUUGCUCUCAUCUUAGGUUUUCAGGAGAAAGAACUGACCUGGUUCUGGGAACAAAAUUCAGGAUAGGAUUUACAACUGAGAAUCCCAAGAAGAGUUAUCUGCCUAACUGCUGGCAGUGGCUGAGGUCUUGGUCCUCUUGUUAGUUUUUCAUCUGAGCUUGCAUAUGUGAUCUCUCAGACUCUGUGAAUCCUGCUGCUGAGCAUUUCCUGACUCCAUGCACUUUAUGUGGAGCUGGGUGCCUAACUUGGAUCUAAAGGCCUCACUAAAUGUCAGGCAGGACACCUGACAGGUAGGUACUGCAAUAUCUAAGUUUCCUUGUAGAUUUUGCCUGAAGAUCCUCCUGAAAUAAACAAACACCGAAACCAGCAAAGAAACAAUUAGUGAGUCAAAAUGAGAUGGCAAGAGCAUGUACUGCUGCACCAGUGGCUGUGAGAAUCUUAUGCCGCCAUGAAAGGGGCAAAAGGAAAAUUUAGGCUGAAUAUCCAGAUAACUACUUAGGCUGAUUUUCUGUGCAGUACAAUCUAUCAGACUGUGAAAUAGGCUCCCAAGGGAAGUGAUGGCAGCUCUAUCACUCGGGUAAUAUAAUUGCUGUAUUUUGUGCCUUUGGUAAAGCCUGAGAGACUUUCUCUGAAUGAAUCUGAAUCAGAAUAUGCCUUUCUAGUGAAAGCAGAAUACUUAAUAAAGCUACCUGAAUAUUGA